UACGUAGGGUGCAAGCGUUGUCCGGAAUUAUUGGGCGUAAAGAGCUCGUAGGCGGUUUGUUGCGUCGGCUGUGAAAUCCCGAGGCUCAACCUCGGGUCUGCAGUCGAUACGAGCAAACUAGAGUGUUGCAGGGGAGACUGGAAUUCCUGGUGUAGCGGUGAAAUGCGCAGAUAUCAGAAGGAACACCGGUGGCGAAGGCGGUUCUCUGGGCAUGAUCUGACGCUGAGGAGCGAAAGUGUGGGGAGCGAACAGG
rnacentral:rRNA from 1 species